rnacentral:rRNA from 1 species
CAGUCGCCACGGGAAUACGUAGGGUGCAAGCGUUAAUCGGAAUUACCGGGCGUAAAGCGUGCGCAGGCGGUUUUGUAAGACAGAGGUGAAAUCCCCGGGCUCAACCUGGGAACUGCCUUUGUGACUGCAAGGCUAGAGUACGGCAGAGGGGGAUGGAAUUCCGCGUGUAGCAGUGAAAUGCGUAGAUAUGCGGAGGAACACCGAUGGCGAAGGCAAUCCCCUGGGCCUGUACUGACGCUCAUGCACGAAAGCGUGGGGAGCAAACAGGAUUAGAUACCCCGGUAGUCCCUGUCUCUUAUAC